rnacentral:lncRNA from 1 species
CACUUUAAAAUCUACAAGGGAUUUUUUUGUCUUUCACAAUUUAAAAACAUUUCUUAGCUCCUAACAACUUUGCUAGCCUCUUUUUUUUUCUCUAUUUUUUUUAUUUUUGGGGGCCAAGACUUUUCAUAAACUUGAGCUAGAUGUUUAUCUACUUAUCUCAAUAAGACUAUUCACUUAAACACAAAGAGUCUAUUCUUUUCCUUCAAACUUUUCAUGCUCCCAAAUCAUAAUCACAACACUCACCCCCACCUAUAGCU